rnacentral:rRNA from 1 species
ACACUCCUGCGGGAGGCAGCAGUGGGGAAUCUUGCGCAAUGGGCGAAAGCCUGACGCAGCCAUGCCGCGUGAAUGAUGAAGGUCUUAGGAUUGUAAAAUUCUUUCACCGGGGACGAUAAUGACGGUACCCGGAGAAGAAGCCCCGGCUAACUUCGUGCCAGCAGCCGCGGUAAUACGAAGGGGGCUAGCGUUGCUCGGAAUUACUGGGCGUAAAGGGAGCGUAGGCGGACAUUUAAGUCAGGGGUGAAAUCCCGGGGCUCAACCUCGGAAUUGCCUUUGAUACUGGGUGUCUUGAGUAUGAGAGAGGUGUGUGGAACUCCGAGUGUAGAGGUGAAAUUCGUAGAUAUUCGGAAGAACACCAGUGGCGAAGGCGACACACUGGCUCAUUACUGACGCUGAGGCUCGAAAGCGUGGGUAGCAAACAGGAUUAGAUACCCUUGUAGUCCCAU